UACGGAGGGGACUAGCGUUGUUCGGAAUUACUGGGCGUAAAGCGCGCGUAGGCGGCUUUGUAAGUUAGAGGUGAAAGCCCGGAGCUCAACUCCGGAAUUGCCUUUAAGACUGCAUCGCUAGAAUCAUGGAGAGGUGAGUGGAAUUCCGAGUGUAGAGGUGAAAUUCGUAGAUAUUCGGAAGAACACCAGUGGCGAAGGCGACUCACUGGACAUGUAUUGACGCUGAGGUGCGAAAGCGUGGGGAGCAAACAGG
rnacentral:rRNA from 1 species